rnacentral:tRNA from 2 species
CAAGAGGUGUAUAAACAAUUAGAGCUGCUAACUCAA